rnacentral:rRNA from 1 species
GUGUCAGCCGCCGCGGUAACACGUAGGGGGCGAGCGUUGUCCGGAUUUAUUGGGCGUAAAGAGCUCGUAGGCGGUUCGCUAAGUCGGGUGUGAAACCUCCAGGCUCAACCUGGAGACGCCACCUGAUACUGGUGUGACUAGAGUCCGGUAGGGGAGUGUGGAACUCCUGGUGUAGCGGUGAAAUGCGCAGAUAUCAGGAAGAACACCAGCGGCGAAGGCGGCACUCUGGGCCGGUACUGACGCUGAGGAGCGAAAGCGUGGGUAGCAAACAGGAUUAGAUACCCUGGUAGUCCACGCCGUAAACGUUGGGCACUAGGUGUGGGUUCCAACCAACGGAAUCCGUGCCGCAGCUAACGCAUUAAGUGCCCCGCCUGGGGAGUACGGCCGCAAGGCUAAA